rnacentral:rRNA from 1 species
AUUGAACGCUGGCGGCAGGCCUAACACAUGCAAGUCGACCUUAGUGGCGGACGGGUGAGUAACACGUGGGAACCUACCCAUCAGAGGGGGAUAACACUUGGAAACAGGCGCUAAUACCGCAUACUGAUGGAUGGACCCGGGGUGCAUUAGCUAGUUGGUGAGGUAACGGCGCACCAAGGCUACGAUGCAUAGGGGGCCGGAGAGGGGGAUCGGCCACACUGGAACUGAGACACGGCCCAGACUCCUACGGGAGGCAGAAGUGGGGAAUAUUGGACAAUGGGCGAAAGCCUGAUCCAGCCAUGCCGCGUGUGUGAAGAAGGUCUUCGGAUUGUAAAGCACGUUCAGUGGGGAGGCGUUACCAACAGAAGAAGCACCGGCUAACUCCGUGCCAGCAGCCGCGGUAAUAC